rnacentral:rRNA from 1 species
GCAAGAUACCACGGGCGCACGGCGGAUGCCUUGGCACAGGGAGCCGAUGAAGGACGCGGCAAGCUGCGAUAAUCCCCGGCGAGGAGCACACAUCCUUCGACCCGGGGGUCUCCGAAUGGGCGAACCCAUCCACAGCAGUGUGGAUAUCCCCACCCCGAACACAUAGGGGUGGGGAGGACAACCCGGGGAACUGAAACAUCUAAGUACCCGGAGGAGAGGAAAUCAAUCUCGAGACUCCCCGAGUAGCGGCGAGCGAAAGGGGACCGAUGGCCAAACCGUCGAGCGGGCGUACCCGGCAGGGGUUCCGCCGACGGGGUUGCAGGGCCGCGCAUCCGGGGGCUGCCGCCCCCGGGCGCAGGUCCGGCUGGGGAGCGGAACGGCAUGGGAGGGCCGGCCGCAGCGGGUGACAGCCCCGUACGCGAACCCAGACCGGACGGCGCGACGCGGUCCCUGAGUAGGGCCGGGCACGUGAAACCCGGUCCGAACCUGGGUGGACCACCAUCCAAGCCUGAGUACUACCCUGUGACCGAUAGCGCACCAGUACCGUGAGGGAAAGGUGAAAAGCACCCCGGGAGGGGAGUGAAACAGUACCUGAAACCGUGCGCCCACGAGCAGUCGGAGCACCCUUGUGGUGUGACGGCGUGCCUUUUGUAGAAUGAGCCAGCGAGUCGCUGGCGCGGGGCGAGGUUAACCGAAAGGGAGCCGGAGCGAAAGCGAGCCUUAACAGGGCGACUUGAGUCCCGCGCCGCGGACGCGAAGCCGGGUGAGCUAUCCGUGGGCAGGCUGAAGCGGGGGUAAGACCCCGUGGAGGGCCGAACGCACGUCGGUUGAAAACGGCGGCGAUGACCUGCGGAUAGGGGUGAAAGGCCAAUCAAACCCGGAGAUAUCUCGUUCUCCCCGAAAUAGCUUUAGGGCUAGCGUCGCGCGUUCACCGCCGGAGGUAGAGCACCGGAUGGACGAGGGGGCUUCGCCGCCUACCGAAUCCAACCGAACUCCGAAUGCCGGCGGCCCAGAGCGCGGCAGUCAGAGCAUGUGGGCUAAGCUGUGUGCUCGAGAGGGAAACAGCCCGGACCGCCCGCUAAGGUCCCCAAGUUCCAGCCGAGUGGCAAAGGAUGUGCGUCCGCCCAGACAACCAGGAUGUUGGCUUAGAAGCAGCCAUGCAUUCAAAGAGUGCGUAACAGCUCACUGGUCGAGUGGACAUGCGCCGACAAUACACGGGGCUAAGCUGGACACCGAAGCGGCGGGAUUUUACCUAAGUAGAAUCGGUAGGGGAGCUUCCCAUGGGCGGGGAAGCCGCCGGGCGACCGGCGGUGGAGCGCAUGGGAGUGAGAAUGCUGGCAUGAGUAGCGAGAGACGAGAGAGUAACUCGUCCGCCGUGAACCCGAGGUUUCCUGGGCAAGGCUAAUCCUCCCAGGGUCAGUCGGGGGCUAAGGCGAGGCCGGGAGGCGUAGCCGACGCGCAGCAGGCAGACAUUCCUGCACCGCGCACGCGGCGCUACGACCGACGGGGCGACGGAUGGGGGUGGCUCGGCGGGGUUCUGGACGUCCCCGUGAUGGAGCGCGGCCCGCGGACCAGGGAAAUCCGGUCCGCACGAGGGCGAGGCUCCGGACGAAGCGAUCAAGCGAAGCGAGUGAGCCCGAGGUCCCUAGAAAAACCCCUAGGCAGGCGCGUGCGCGCCCGUACCGCAAACCGACACAGGUGGGUGGGUAGAACAUACCGAGGCGAUCGGGUCAACCAUGGUCAAGGAACUCGGCACAAUGGCCCCGUAACUUCGGGAGAAGGGGUGCCCGCGCGUACGUGAACCGGCUUGCCCGGGGAGCGGAGGCGGGCCGCAGUGGAGAGGCCCAAGCGACUGUUUACCAAAAACACAGGACUCUGCAGAAGCCGCAAGGCGACGUAUAGGGUCUGACGCCUGCCCGGUGCCGGAAGGUCACGCGGAGGAGUUAGCUUUCGAGCGAAGCCCCGAAGCCAAGCCCCGGUAAACGGCGGCCGUAANNNNNNNNNNCGCAUCGCGCGAAGCCCCGAAGCCAAGCCCCGGUAAACGGCGGCCGUAACUAUAACGGUCCUAAGGUAGCGAAAUUCCUUGUCGGGUAAGUUCCGACCUGCACGAAAGGCGCAACGACUUGGGCGCUGUCUCGACCAUGGACCCGGUGAAAUUGCACUGGUCGUGAAGAUGCGACUUACCCGCGGAAGGACGGAAAGACCCCGUGAACCUUCACUGCAGCUUGGCAUUGGCCGCUGGUCCCGCGUGUAGAGGAUAGGCAGGAGGCACAGAUCCGGAGGCGCCAGCCCCCGGGGAGCCGCCCUUGGAAUACUGCCCUCGCGCGACCGGCGUCCUAACCCGAGGCCGUCAACCGGCUCGGGGACCGUGCCAGGCGGGCAGUUUGACUGGGGCGGUCGCCUCCUAAAGGGUAACGGAGGCGCGCGAAGGUCCGCUCGGGACGGUCGGCAACCGUCCUUUUGAAUGCAAGAGUACAAGCGGGCUUGACUGCGAGGCCCACAAGCCGAGCAGGUGCGAAAGCAGGCUCUAGUGAUCCGGCGGCCCCGAGUGGGUGGGCCGUCGCUCAACGGAUAAAAGGUACUCCGGGGAUAACAGGCUGAUCUUGCCCAAGAGUCCACAUCGACGGCAAGGUUUGGCACCUCGAUGUCGGCUCAUCGCAUCCUGGGGCUGGAGCAGGUCCCAAGGGUACGGCUGUUCGCCGUUUAAAGCGGUACGCGAGCUGGGUUCAGAACGUCGUGAGACAGUUCGGUCCCUAUCCUCCGUGGGCGCAGGAGAAUCGAUGGAGGCUGCCCCCAGUACGAGAGGACCGGGGUGGACGCACCUCCGGUGAACCGGUUGUCGACCAACGGCACGGCCGGGUAGCCGCGUGCGGCGCGGAUAACCGCUGAAGGCAUCUAAGCGGGAAGCCGUUCCAGGGAUUAGUUCUCCUUCCGGUAAGGGCCCAGGUAGACUACCUGGUCGAUAGACGGCAGGUGCAAGGGCGGCGACGUCCUCAGCCGAGCCGCACUAAUCGCCCGAGCUCUUCC